UACGUAGGUGGCAAGCGUUGUCCGGAAUUAUUGGGCGUAAAGCGCGCGCAGGUGGUUUCUUAAGUCUGAUGUGAAAGCCCACGGCUCAACCGUGGAGGGUCAUUGGAAACUGGGGAACUUGAGUGCAGAAGAGGAGAGUGGAAUUCCUGGUGUAGCGGUGAAAUGCGCAGAUAUCAGGAAGAACACCCGUGGCGAAGGCGGCUCUCUGGGACGGUACUGACGCUGAGACGCGAAAAGCGUGGG
rnacentral:rRNA from 1 species